GUUAUCUGGAAAUUAGUGGAGAAGCUUCUUGUUCCGACUUCAAAGUAAUUGAAAUCUUUGACUGUGGAGAGUCAAUCUGCUUCACAAGGACUGAAAUGGUCUAUUUGCUGCUGGUACAAAUUUGUUAUCUCAGCUUGGGAUAAAGAUUGAGAGACAAUCUAAACAAAAGCUCAUUGAGUUUGCUCGGGAACUGAGGUCAUUUCCUAGUAUUGAUAUGUCAGGCAAUUUGGGAAGGAGGACUGCUAUGGUGGGGACGUAGGCCGCAAUGGUGUGUUUAUAUGACAGAAUUUGGGCCUUAGGCCAUAUUCUACCGUCUGCCAUUGAAAACACUGAUGGUUGAACACUUGAAUCUUUACAAGAAUGACAUUGGUGAUGAGACCAAAUGGAGCCAGAGCAUUGGUUGAAGUUCUCAAGUUUCAUGGAAACAUAAAAAGCUUAAGUUUGGUUGGUGCCAAGAGCAAAAGGGGCAGAGUUCAUUGCAGAUGCUUUGAAAUACAAUACCACCAAAUCAAUUUGUGCAGAGUGCUUUGGCUGAUACAACAAGAGACCAUGUCUUUAAGAUGAUCGAAAAGGAAAUCAACAUCUUCCAAUAGAAACCGCUACAACAGUUGCAUAUUCUUCUAUUGAACUAUUGGAUGAUACAGUUGACCCACAAGAGUUAACCUAUUAAGUUUAUUGUUAUCAUUGCUGGUAUAGUUUCCUAAGCUAAAGGCAUCAUGUGCAGUUUGCCUUUGCUAGCUAUAGAUGUUUUUCUUUUGGAUCUUAGCUGCUAAGUAAGAUUUGUCAAAUGGAUCUUAGCUGCUAAUUUUAUUGUACAUGGGCUUGUUGGGCAAAUUAAGCUCACUUGUGUCUUGAGUUGUUUCCUCUCUUUAUGUAACACAAGUAUUUUGAUUGAUAGGUGAUUUUGGUAAAGGUGUGUUGAGUUGAUGAUUGAGUGUUGUAACUGUAGUGGUGUUUCUCUUUUGAACAUACAGAUACGAUCUUCAUGAAGUAAAUAGUCUUCAAGUCUGAUAA